CCAGACACAACGGUUCCCGCCUAUCUUCCUCUAGCAUCUACUUUCUUCUCGAUGGCGCCAGCUUCAUAAAUUGGCACAUGUUAUUAUCAGACGAGUUUCAUUACUGGCACGCUGGUGGAGUACUUAAGAUUCAUUUGAUAGACAAAGACGGUAACUACAGUUACCGGUUGCUAGGCGACACAUUGAAGAACGAAGAGCACGUGUUUUUCACGGUGGUUCCUCACGAGACUUGGAUGGCCGCUGAGAGGAUCGGAGAAAGCCCAUACGUGUUUUACAGCGCCACAUCAGCACCUGGAUGGGAAUUGGAGGACUCAUUCGAUUUGACAAAAGACGAAAUGGUUCAGAAGUUUCCACAGCAUGUAGAACAGUUUGGCAGAUUUUGCCUUUCCUGAAAAUCACCCGAGAGAUUUUUCUGCAUUUGUAAAACACACCUGUUUCCAGCUCU